rnacentral:misc_RNA from 1 species
GGAACCAGAAGGUUGACCUUCAGACGUGAUCCCAAAACUUGUGAGGAAAUUUGAUCUGGGUGUAACUGAAUCCAGAGACAUUGGAAGAUGGCAGCUGGACUUUGUUGUUGGGAACAUGGCAGCCAUGUUAUCAGAUUUGGCUGCCAUUUGUUGGGAACAUGGCAAUGCUAGUUGAAUUUGAUCAGAUUUGGCUGAUGUACAGCGGCUGCCAUUUGUGCUGCUGCUGAUUCUUGUGCAUGUACAUAGACAAAACUGACAUGCUAACACACAUGGUGGAUUGUGAAGCGGGGCUUGUAGAGUUGUCUGUUUCCAGAGUUGGAGACACAAGGACUAGCGGAUAAAGAAGCAUGUGCCCAAUUUUGGACUGAUUUAUGCUGCAGCUUUCAGUUUGUUGCCCAGAAGAUGAAACGGAAAGAUGGUUUUCUCAUGAAGAGCAGGAUCCAUAUACAUAUACAGAGAAAUUGAUGUAAAAAAGGGAGUAAAUUAGAAAAGAAAAAAAAAAUGAAAAGAUUUUAACGUUGGGUAGGUGUAGGCAAUAUUUCAUU